rnacentral:rRNA from 1 species
GGAAUAUUGCACAAUGGGGGAAACCCUGAUGCAGCGACGCCGCGUGAGUGAAGAAGUAUUUCGGUAUGUAAAGCUCUAUCAGCAGGGAAGAUAAUGACGGUACCUGACUAAGAAGCCCCGGCUAACUACGUGCCAGCAGCCGCGGUAAUACGUAGGGGGCAAGCGUUAUCCGGAUUUACUGGGUGUAAAGGGAGCGUAGGUGGCAGGGCAAGUCAGAUGUGAAAACCCGGGGCUCAACCCCGGGAGUGCAUUUGAAACUGUCCAGCUGGAGUGCAGGAGAGGUAAGCGGAAUUCCUAGUGUAGCGGUGAAAUGCGUAGAUAUUAGGAGGAACAUCGGUGGCGAAGGCGGCUUACUGGACUAUAACAGACACUGAGGCUCGAAAGCGUGGGGAGCGAACA